GAUGAACGCUGGCGGCGUGCUUAACGCAUGCAAGUCGAACGGAAAGGCUCCUGCUUGCAGGGGUACUCGAGUGGCGAACGGGUGAGUAACACGUGGGUGAUCUGCCCUUACCUUCGGACUAUGCUAGGGAACUGGGUAUACUUCCCGUGUGGUCCAUUGGUUUGGUGGCGGUUGGGAAACUUUUUCGGUGUGGGAUGAGCUCGCGGCCUAUCAGCUUGUUGGUGGGGUAAUGGCCUACCAAGGCGUCGACGGGUAGCCGGCCUGAGAGGGUGUACGGCCACAUUGGGACUGAGAUACGGCCCAGACUCCUACGGGAGGCAGCAGUGGGGAAUAUUGCACAAUGGGCGCAAGCCGGAUGCAGCGACGCCGCGUGGGGGAUGACGGCCUUCGGGUUGUAAACGCCUUUCGCUAGGGACGAAGCGCAAGUGACGGUACCUGGAGAAGAAGCACCGGCUAACUACGUG
rnacentral:rRNA from 1 species